rnacentral:rRNA from 1 species
UACGGAGGAUGCAAGCGUUAUCCGGAUUCAUUGGGUUUAAAGGGUGCGUAGGCGGGCUAUUAAGUCAGUGGUGAAAUCCUGCAGCUUAACUGCAGAACUGCCGUUGAUACUGAUAGUCUUGAGUUUGGUUAAGGUAGGCGGAAUGUGUAAUGUAGCGGUGAAAUGCUUUGAUAUUACACAGAACACCGAUUGCGAAGGCAGCUUGCUGGGUCAUUACUGACGCUGAUGCACGAAAGCGUGGGGAUCAAACA